GGCACCUUGCCGGCGGCCUACACAUGCAAGUCGAGCGGCAGCACGGGUACUUGUACCUGGUGGCGAGCGGCGGACGGGUGAGUAAUGCCUAGGAAUCUGCCUGGUAGUGGGGGAUAACGCUCGGAAACGGACGCUAAUACCGCAUACGUCCUACGGGAGAAAGCAGGGGACCUUCGGGCCUUGCGCUAUCAGAUGAGCCUAGGUCGGAUUAGCUAGUUGGUGAGGUAAUGGCUCACCAAGGCGACGAUCCGUAACUGGUCUGAGAGGAUGAUCAGUCACACUGGAACUGAGACACGGUCCAGACUCCUACGGGAGGCAGCAGUGGGGAAUAUUGGACAAUGGGCGAAAGCCUGAUCCAGCCAUGCCGCGUGUGUGAAGAAGGUCUUCGGAUUGUAAAGCACUUUAAGUUGGGAGGAAGGGCAGUUACCUAAUACGUAUCAC
rnacentral:rRNA from 1 species